rnacentral:rRNA from 1 species
AAUCUUGCGCAAUGGGCGAAAGCCUGACGCAGCGACGCCGCGUGAGCGAUGAAGGCCUUCGGGUUGUAAAGCUCUGUGGGGAGAGACGAAUAAGGUGCAGCUAAUACCUGCAUCGAUGACGGUAUCUCCUUAGCAAGCACCGGCUAACUCUGUGCCAGCAGCCGCGGUAAGACAGAGGGUGCGAACGUUGUUCGGAAUUACUGGGCGUAAAGCGCGUGUAGGCGGCAGCGUGCGUCGGGCGUGAAAUCCCAUGGCUUAACCAUGGAAGUGCACCCGAAACUGCGCAGCUAGAGUCCUGGAGAGGAAGAUGGAAUACUUGGUGUAGAGGUGAAAUUCGUAGAUAUCAAGUGGAACACCGGUGGCGAAGGCGGUCUUCUGGACAGUGACUGACGCUGAAACGCGAAAGCGUGGGGAGCAAAC